UCCCGGGUAGCUCAGACAAUAAAGCAUCUGUCUGCAAAGCAGGAGACGCAGGUUCAAUCCCUGGGUCAGGAA
rnacentral:tRNA from 1 species